UGAAAAAGUAUUUCAGGAAGGGUCUCAGCUGAUGGCCGCACACGGCUACCACUGGGCCUACCAACAGUGUAGGAAAAAGUAAAAAAAAAAAAACUUAAAAUUUACUACAGAACCAUCAAGUAAAAGUGGAAGUGGUUCGACCAAAUGGAUGCUAUCUAGACCGGUGAGCAAUGGGAGAGUGCCCUGGACUCCUGGUACGUUUAGUUAAGUUAACUCUAUACUCAGCUUGAAAGCUUCACUUUAUUUAGUUGACCAGCUACUGGAGAGCUUGCUUCUAAAACAACCAGGCCAAUGUAACUGUUCCACUUGAUAUCACCAUGCAACAACUGCUUUAUGCAGCACAAUGAGCUAGUAGCUAACAGCUAGCGAUUGUGUUAUUGUUUAUGGUCAGAAAUGUUUGUGUCACGUUUAAGAUGAUGUCUCAGCAGUAAAUGAUGUGACGAUCAGCCUAUAAUCCCACCCACGUUGAGGUAGCACUAAACUGCAGUGGAAAAGGAAACUCAGAAAAGUAAUGCGAGUACAGUCUAGUUGAACCAGUCGUAACGUGCAGUGGAAAAGUGCCAUGUGGUACCAAGUAAUCAGAGGGAAUGUUUUGUAUAUAGGGCACACCAGUGGAUUGACCAACUUUGGCAAGAUUGUUAAAUUAUAAUUGUGAAUAACAAAGUGUCAUUCAUCGUCAAACCCUUGAAAGCCUGGUACAGUUAUGAGAUGACGAGUAAUUGCACUUCUGAACUGCAAGUUAUGGAACCCUGUGAGCUUAAUGGAUAUCAUCCACUUGAUCCAUACGUAGAAGCUGGCAAGCUAAACAUCACGUCAAAAACCUUCUUGCUUCACUAAGAACAUUCAAAAAUUUAGACUUGAUCCUGUUCCAGAUUCAGUUGAUGGCUUCAAGCUUGAACUUAAAAGCAGGCUCCAGCAGAAAGACCCUUUUGACUUCCAUGAUUUCUGUAACCUUACACGUGUAGCUGAUCUGCCCAAAGACAAGGAGAGCAAGAGGAAACAGAGCAAAUAGCUGUGGAGAUGAGUAAGAGGACUCCUGACAUCACCUUUGUUGAUGCUGCUAUGAGCAGCACGCAUUCUUAGAGAAGACAAGAAGUUUUUGAGGAGGAGCCACCAGUGUCGCAAAUGAAAGAGCGAUGGCCAGCACUUUCACAGAGAGACAGAUCAGCAAGAAAUUCACCAGGCUUGUGUCAAAGGACUUGAACAAGUCCAUAUUUGAAGGCCUAGAUGGUCAUCUCCUAAAACUGUUCCAAAUACUAAUACAAUUAUUGAGGUCAAAGUGUUGAGGUCAAAGCGUCCAGAAUUUUCUUCUAUGGAAAACAAAACUAAUGAUAGUGACAUAUAUCUUUUCAUACAAUGGCAGUUAAUAGUAACUCACUUCACAGAGUAAGUGUCUAAAAGUAACCCAUACGACUUGUAUGUCAUAUUCCAAGACUUCUGAAAUCAUACAAAAGAUUUUUUUGUUUUAGUGGUUUGAUUGAGUGAACCACACUUUUAUAUCCAGUUUCCUUUUCAAAAGAGUUUAUACAAAGUACAUGUUACAUCCUGCUUAAAUGUCCCUGUUUGUUUGGACAAUCUUAUUUUUGUGAAAAUGUGUAUGUUCUUAUUUAUUGUUCUAUUUUAUUUAGGUGUAAUAUUGAGAAAAUAACAAGUUUGCAGUAAUGCCAAGAUAUUAUUUAAUUUUGUAAAAUAUUUUAAUUUGAAAACACUGUAUAUUUAUAGUUGUUGUUGUUGUUGCUAGUUUGUAUGUUUGAGUUGAAAAAAAAAAUUUCUGCAUUAUCAGUAAUCUAUUUGUGCAUUUUCCUUGAUAACCAAGCAAGUUGACGCAUGAUACCAUUUGUUUAUUAUAUUGCAAUCACAUAUCACAAUAUUAACCUCAAUAAUCGCAAUAUGACUUUUGUAUCGUGCAGCCCGAUUGCAUACCAAAUAUUACAUUCUUUCAUGAAUAUUGUACGUGUAUGUAACAAAACAUGAAAUUUCCUGGUUACAAAAUCAUAUUGGUUUUACACAUCAUUGCAUUUUAUCAAGUUAAGCCUUAUAGUUACCAUUCUUAGUGGUAUCAUACAAAAUUUUUAAUUAUAUAUAU